CGCUCCCUUCUACCUAUCGCACGGGCAACUUAUCUAGCCAACACAGAGGCAGCAGCUGCUGCUGCCCGGGUUGCACGUACACAGAUCCCAAGGCCAACGGAGAGGCGUCAGCAGCAGCCGCCGUUGUUCCACAACGAGGAACACAGAUCCCAAGGCCGAUCGAUCGAUGGAGAACAACGGCAGGAGCAACCCGCAGCCUCCACCAGGCUAUCCGACGGUUGCUCCGGAUGGCGGCGAGGGGAAGAAGAAGGGGUCGCGUCGCGCGUCGACGACCAAGCGGGGAGAGGCCAGCUUUAUCGAAGGAUGCAUCGCUGCGCUCUGCUGCUGCUGGAUCUGCGAUCUCUGCUGCAACUGAAGAGCCUACCGGAAUAACUGAUCGAGAGAUCUAGAUGCGAUAUGCACAAGACAUAGAUUCAUGCAUGUGAUGCGUGGAGCUUCUUUUAUUUUGUCGAGUGGUGAUUUAAUUAUAUAUAGUAUAGUUUUACAUCGACAGUGUGACCAGAAAGUUGCAUUAUUGUACUUGUGCUAUAACUAAAAAGAGGUUGAGUGUGUAAUGUUGUGCACGGGUCUGUGUUAAUCGUACUGUGCAACGAGCUAGCAUGCACGCAGUGGUAUGAAUUUUUGGGUCCACGAGUUUCAUGUUUGUGCUUCUUUUUUUCUCUAUGUAACUUUUCCAUAUUACUAAAGGAAAGUUUUUGCUGCCUA